CCUACGGUGAGCGGCAGUGGGGAAUAUUGCACAAUGGGGGAAACCCUGAUGCAGCGACGCCGCGUGAGUGAAGAAGUACUUCGUUAUGUAAAGCUCUAUCAGCAGAGAAGAAAAUGACGGUACCUGAGUCAGAAGCCCCGGCUAACUACGUGCCAGCAGCCGCGGUAAUACGUAGGGGGCAAGCGUUAUCCGGAUUUACUGGGUGUAAAGGGAGCGUAGACGGCAGUGCAAGUCUGGAGUGAAGGGCGGGGGCUCAACCCCCGGACUGCUCUGGAAACUGUACGGCUGGAGUGCAGGAGAGGUAAGUGGAAUUCCUAGGUUAGCUGUGAAAUGCGUAGAUAUUAGGAGGAACACCAGUGGCGAAGGCGGCUUACUGGACUGUAACUGACGUUGAGGCUCGAAAGCGUGGGGAGCAAACAGGAUUAGAUACCCGGGUAGUC
rnacentral:rRNA from 1 species